rnacentral:lncRNA from 1 species
GUGCAAACAAACCGGUUUUUAUAGUUAGCAUGGCAUUUUGAAUGGAGUUUGAAGCCUAAAGGACACUAUUCUACUUGCAGAUGAAGAUGGGAAAUGUAACAUUCCAUUAUCUUGCUUGGGAUUUAUGGAAAUGCUGAACAAUGACGUGAGAAUGACUACAAUCUGAAGCAUCUGUUAAACACAGCAGCGUGACAUCACAAGUGAUCUUGGUUCCUGGCAUGAAUUCAGAGGAGCAUUUCCUGAUCUCGAGUACACUGAGACAUUCAUAAUUUCCCAUGAAAAUCAAUGAGAAAGAGCAGGACCACCGGGUCAAGCCAGAUCUGACCUCACCACCUGUGGAUAUCCAGGACUUCCAUGACAAAACAGGAAGGGAAUAUACUGU